GGAGCUCCCACAGCUUUCCUCGAAAUAACAGCAUCACCAACAGCUGGAAAAGGAGAAGCAGGAAAACUGCUCCUAGGGCCGGAUGUGGAGAAGGAAUCUUACAGUUCAUAAACAAGAUCAUAAAAGAACAACUUGCUUUGUUACCACUUCUACUGAGGCUGUGAAACACGAGUUACUGCAAAUACUACACUGCAGCUUGUGUCCAUGAGGCUCAGGAGAAUGAGAUGCUGUGCUGCAAACAACUCAGAAGCAGGAAAGGAGAAGAAGGAGGGGAGAAAAUGAGCUGCCUCAGUAAUAUACCUCCUCUGACAAAGCUGAAAGUGCCUGGCUAUUUCUCAGCAAAUGAAAAAAAGUCUAAAGGAAUGAGGUCAUAAGAAUGGCUGAAUCAAAUGACCAUGAGACAGCUGUGUCCAAAUUUCUAUGUGGUAUUUAUAUAGUGAAUACAAAUGAGAAAUCUGAUUUGAAGGUGUGGAGAGCUCUGCUCCACUUAUGCAUGAAAGUCUCUUAUGAAAGUGUAUGCAAAAUUCAGAUGUGUGCCACUGGUUUUGGAGCUACAGAACAUGCAAUUUCCACCCCCGUGAUAAAUAUUCAUACCACUUAAUUGCACACAGAUAAUGACAUCUCCAAGUAUUGCUGCAGCAUCAUGUCUGCUUUCAUUUCUUAGUUGUUUCCUCAGAGGAUCAGUUCUGCUCUGCUUAGGACCAGAACCUGAGAGCAUUCCCAUGGGGUUGUGCUGACAACACAGACAGUGGGGUAGUCACAAGUCUCUGGAAUAAGCUUUGCAUUAAGGUUCUUUAUCCUACAAAACAACCAAAAAGCAGUUGAGGUAGUACAGAGUUCACAGAGGCUAGUUUAUCAGGCUCCUAAGCAGACUAGCCAUGCAUCUAUAGCCUGUUUGUAUGACUCUAUCCACAAGUGCAGACUUAGCUUGCAAGGUCACAGAGAAUUCAGAAGUACAGGAACAGCAAAAGAGUAUGAAAAUUACAAAUAUAUUGUCAUGCUUAACAGGUUACAGUUGCUUUCAAACAGAAGGUAUCUCAAAGUUACCCACACCUUUUGCAAAUAAGCUCUUAAGGUGAAGUUUCAUUCAUUUCCAGUGAGGCUAGGGAGAGUAGACCAGUGUAACACUAGUGUGUGCAGGAGGGUCUUUCUAGGGCCUCACAGAUUUUAUCUAUAUUGGCA
ensembl:lncRNA